rnacentral:rRNA from 1 species
UACGUAGGCAGCGAGCGUUGUUCGGAGUUACUGGGCGUAAAGGGUGUGUAGGCGGUUGUUUAAGUUUGGGGGGAAAUCUCCCGGCUCAACUGGGAGGGUGCGCCGAAUACUGAGUGACUCGAGUGCGGGAGAGGAGAGUGGAAUUCCUGGUGUAGCGGUGAAAUGCGUAGAUAUCAAGCGGAACACCGGUGGCGAAGGCGGCCUUCUGGACAGUGACUGACGCUGAGACGCGAAAGCGUGGGGAGCAAACAGG